UACAGAGGUCUCAAGCGUUGUUCGGAUUCAUUGGGCGUAAAGGGCGCGUAGACGGCUUUGCAAGUGACGGGUGAAAUCCCUCGGCUUAACCGAGGAACUGCCUGUCAAACUGCAUGGCUUGAGACCGGGAGAGGUGAGUGGAAUUCCCAGUGUAGCGGUGAAAUGCGUAGAUAUUGGGAGGAACACCAGUGGCGAAGGCGGCUCACUGGACCGGUACUGACGCUGAUGCGCGAAAGCGUGGGGAGCAAACAGG
rnacentral:rRNA from 1 species